UACGUAGGGUGCAAGCGUUGUUCGGAAUCACUGGGCGUAAAGGGAGAGUAGGCGGGAAGGUAAGUUAGGAGUUUAAUGUACCGGCUUAACCGGUAAUCUGCUUCUAAUACUGCUUUUCUUGAGUAUGGGAGAGGGAAAUGGAAUUCCAGGUGUAGCGGUGGAAUGCGUAGAUAUCUGGAAGAACACCAGCUGCGAAGGCGGUUUCCUGGCCCAAUACUGACGCUGAGGCUCGAAAGCUAGGGGAG
rnacentral:rRNA from 1 species